UACGUAGGGGGGCUAGCGUUGUCCGGAAUCAUUGGGCGUAAAGCGCGCGUAGGCGGCCAGAUAAGUCCGGUGUGAAAGUCAAAGGCUCAACCUUUGAAUGCCGCUGGAAACUGUCUGGCUUGAGUCCGGGAGGGGCGAGUGGAAUUCCUGGUGUAGCGGUGAAAUGCGCAGAUAUCAGGAGGAACACCAAUGGCGAAGGCAGCUCGCUGGAACGGUACUGACGCUGGAGGCGCGGAAAGCGUGGGGAGCGAACAGG
rnacentral:rRNA from 1 species